AAUUUCCAGUAUGUUUUUUUUUUUUUAAUAGAAAAGUAUCAAAGGAAAUAAAAAAAAAAAACAUACUGGAAAUUAAUGAAGAAGAAAAACAAAAGAGGGAAAAAGAAACGACUGCCUGGAAGGUUAUACUAUAUAACGAUGAUAUUCAUAAUUUUACACAUGUAACUGAUGUUAUAGUAAAAGUAAUAGAACAUAUAAGCAAGGCGAAGGCACAUACAAUCACAGUUAAAGCCCACAGUACAGGGCAAGCUCUUAUCUGUUCAACUUGGAAGGCACAAGCAGAAAAGUAUUGUGAAGGUAACACAAAAAAAAAUUAUACAUUUGAAAUACAAAAUAUAUAUAAAUUAUCUGUAAAUUAUUUAUAUAUAAAAUGACAACUUUUACUAAGUACUUUUUUUUGUAUGUACAAACAAAUAAGCUUCGUAUAUUUUUUACACACUUUUUUUUAAUUUCCAGAACUGCAGAAGAAUGGAUUAACAGUUUCUAUUAUACAUGAGAGUCAAUUAAAAAGUACAAAAAAUAAAUCAGACACAAAAAUAUAG
rnacentral:lncRNA from 1 species